UCCAUUAAGGUUAUAUCAGCCCCCCAUUCCUACCACAUCUCUGCUUCCUCUUCUGCUGUGAUGUGAACAGUCAUAUGCUCCUGCCGACAUAGUUUGGGCUGCUCGGCCAGCAUGGACUGAAGUCUCCUGAAACCAGGAGCUUCGAUAGUCCUUGUCCCUCAGCAGUCAUUUCUGUCAGGUGCUUGUCACAGUCAUGAAAAGAAAUGCAGGACUCUGGUGAAGCCACGUUUUCAGCUCAUACUCAGCCUGUGUGAUAGGGGAAGCGCAUCUUAGGAAGAGCCAUGGACCUCUUAAAGUAGAGAUGCUCCGAGAUGCAGCACCAGCCAGGGUUGUGAAAGGUGACGCUGACAUCAGGCCAACUUGACACUGAGAUUCCACCUUAGCCAAGGACCCCUUGACGGUUGACUUCCACCAAGGCACAGAGACAGCAGCCUGAGUUUGCCAUCUGGGUAUAAUAAGUGAAGAAUUUGAAUCAUAAAAAUUUCUACCUAAUUUAAAAGGCACGGUAUUGCUUUUCUCAAACUAACUGCCCCUGGCAGUUCUGGUUAAUACUUCCGUUCAAAAUAAAAACGUUAAAAGCC